GUGAUUUUUCCUUCUGACAUGCUCUGAGCAGCCAAGGAGAAAUCCCCAAGGGCAAGAGGAAAAGAGCCCAUAGGCGGCUGCAGCUGAAAUGAAUACCUCUUGAGUUCAAGGGAGCCCUAGCGAAUGGCUCUAUCAUUGCACUACUUUUAGAUGAAUAAUAUGAGGGGGGCCUCAAAUGCCCUCGUGAGGCCUUAGCUUCAGCUGGCGUGGGCUGCUUCUUUUUCUUUUUGUUAACAACAGUUUCCAGUCUUUGGUAUAAGGAACUCCUGCAACACUCACCUCAAAUAACGUGGCUAUUUGUUCGAAGGUCCAAAUAACCUGGUUGCUUUUUUUAAGAUGUCAAAGAACGAUGAUGAUCAUCAGCUUACUAUUGACAGUGGAAUUAAAAAUAUGAAUAGGAUGUCCUCUGAACUGAAUAAACUUAUUGUAAAAUCCCAAAUGCUGCUUUGUGACCUUAUACUGACAUUCAGUCAACCAGUGCAAGAUGUUUCAAGAGAAACUGAAGAAAAGAACCAAGAAGACUUGAAAAUGAAAGAUGCAACUUCCAUUUAUUGUCCUUCUUUGUCAGUUUCUCAUUCAUAGUACUGCAGUGCUUUGCACGAAAUAGUUUAACAGUGAGAGGAAAGGAAAUAAACUUUACCUGGCUAAUUUUUUGACAUA